AGAACGCAGCGAAAUGCGAUAAGUAAUGUGAAUUGCAGAAUUCAGUGAAUCAUCGAAUCUUUGAACGCACAUUGCGCCCUCUGGUAUUCCGGGGGGCAUGCCUGUUCGAGCGUCAUUACAACCCUCAAGCUCUGCUUGGUAUUAGGCCUCACCUGCUAAGGCGGGCCUUAAAAUCAGUGGCGGUGCCAUCUGGCUUCAAGCGUAGUAACUUUCUCGCUCAGGAGUACUAGGUGUUUACCUGCCAACAACCCCAAAUUUUUACAGGUUGACCUCGGAUCAGGUAGGGAUACCCGCUGAACUUAAGCAUAUCAAUAAGCGGAGGAAAAGAAACCAACAGGGAUUACCUCAGUAACGGCGAGUGAAGCGGUAACAGCUCAAAUUUGAAAUCUGGCCUUUUAGGUCCGAGUUGUAAUUUGUAGAGGAUGUUUCGAACGUGGUCCGGUCUAAGUUCCUUGGAACAGGACGUCAUAGAGGGUGAGAAUCCCGUAUGCGACUGGGUGCCUAAGUUCAUGUGAAACUCCUUCGACGAGUCGAGUUGUUUGGGAAUGCAGCUCAAAAUGGGUGGUAAAUUUCAUCUAAAGCUAAAUAUUGGCCAGAGACCGAUAGCGCACAAGUAGAGUGAUCGAAAGAUGAAAAGCACUUUGGAAAGAGAGUUAAACAGUACGUGAAAUUGUUGAAAGGGAAGCGCUUGCAACCAGACUUGCAUGCAGUUGAUCAUCCGAUGUUCUCACCGGUGCACUCGAUUGUAUUCAGGCCAGCAUCGGUUUAGGUGGUUGGAAAAAAGCCCUAGGAAUGUAGCUUCUCUCGGGGAGUGUUAUAGCCUGAGGUAUAAUGCAGCCUACCUGGACCGAGGACCGCGCUUCGGCUAGGAUGCUGGCGUAAUGGUUGUAAGCGACCCGUCUUGAAACACGG
rnacentral:rRNA from 1 species